UACGGAGGGUGCGAGCGUUAAUCGGAAUAACUGGGCGUAAAGGGCACGCAGGCGGGCUUUUAAGUGAGAUGUGAAAUCCCCGGGCUUAACCUGGGAACUGCAUUCGAAACUGGCAGGCUGGAGUCUUGUAGAGGGGGGUAGAAUUCCAGGUGUAGCGGUGAAAUGCGUAGAGAUGUGGAGGAAUACCGAAGGCGAAGGCAGCCCCUUGGGAAUGUACUGACGCUGAGGCGCGAAAGCGUGGGGAGCAAACAGG
rnacentral:rRNA from 1 species